GAUGAACGCUCGCUACAGGCUUAACACAUGCAAGUCGAGGGGCAGCAUGGUCUUAGCUUGCUAAGGCCGAUGGCGACCGGCGCACGGGUGAGUAACACGUAUCCAACCUGCCGUCUACUCUUGGACAGCCUUCUGAAAGGAAGAUUAAUACAAGAUGGCAUCAUGAGUCCGCAUGUUCACAUGAUUAAAGGUAUUCCGGUAGACGAUGGGGAUGCGUUCCAUUAGAUAGUAGGCGGGGUAACGGCCCACCUAGUCUUCGAUGGAUAGGGGUUCUGAGAGGAAGGUACCCCACAUUGGAACUGAGACACGGUCCAAACGCCUACGGGAGGCAGCAGUGAGGAAUAUUGGUCAAUGGGCGCAGGCCUGAACCAGCCAAGUAGCGUGAAGGAUGACUGCCCUAUGGGUUGUAAACUUCUUUUAUAAAGGAAUAAAGUCGGGUAUGGAUACCCGUUUGCAUGUACUUUAUGAAUAAGGAGCGGCUAACUCCGUG
rnacentral:rRNA from 1 species